ACACAGUUGGUGGAUUCCAAGAGGAAAUACUCUUAGGGUUUUAAUGAUUAAUGAAACUGAAUUUGGGUUUUGUAAUCUUUGAGUGUUAAAUUGGGACCUCCCGGAUUCAUGAAGGCAUUAGGUUCGGGGUAGGGUUGACCUACCUGUUUCCCAAUGUAUACUUCUCUUUUAAUACGCGCCAUCUGCGUUUUGUGGAAGGUCGGAAUUUUUUUCGUGGUUUUGGUUAUUUUUUUUUUUAUUUUAAUAUUGUAAUAUUUUGUUGCUUUGUCUUUGAUGAACUUUCAACUGGCGAAACAAGAUGAUUAUUUUGAUUAUUACGAAAAUAGUAGUCAGCAUGAGAGCAAAGAUAGCCAAGGUGACAAGUAUCUUGCUUUGAUGCUCAAAUUUUCCUUGAAGAACUAUUCGUUGUUGACGGAUCCACAAGGUCAAGCCAUAGCAAUGACAAUUACGUGUUUGAAGUCCCAGAUAGUUAAAAAUUGAAGAUUAUGACAAGAAAUUCAGGUUUCUGUAUUUACAUUAUGAGCAUGUUUGAGCCACAUUAUAAUGAGAAUGAGAAUGAGAAAUAGAGCCGUUAUGGGCCCCA